UGGCGAGCGUUGUCCGGAAUUAUUGGGCGUACAGAGCAUGUAGGCGGUUUUUUAAGUCUGGAGUGAAAAUGCGGGGCUCAACCCCGUAUGGCUCUGGAUACUGGAAGACUUGAGUGCAGGAGAGGAAAGGGGAAUUCCCAGUGUAGCGGUGAAAUGCGUAGAUAUUGGGAGGAACACCAGUGGCGAAGGCGCCUUUCUGGACUGUGUCUGACGCUGAGAUGCGAAAGCCAGGGUAGCGAACGG
rnacentral:rRNA from 1 species